rnacentral:rRNA from 1 species
AAGCAGACAUCUAAUUCGUACCAAAGGACUUGCCGCUAAGGGAUGGGGAUGCGUCUGAUUAGAUAGUAGCGGGUAACGGCCCGACCUAGUCAACGAUCAGUAGGGGUUCUGAGAGGAAGGUCCCCCACAUUGGAACUGAGACACGGUCCAAACUCCUACGGGAGGCAGCAGUGAGGAAUAUUGGUCAAUGGGCGAGAGCCUGAACCAGCCAAGUAGCGUGCAGGACGACGGCCCUAUGGGUUGUAAACUGCUUUUAUGCGGGGAUAACGUGCCCCACUAGUGGGGUAUUGCAGGUACCGCAUGAAUAAGGACCGGCUAAUUCCGUGCC